rnacentral:rRNA from 1 species
GACGAACGCUGGCGGCGUGCCUAAUACAUGCAAGUGGGACGCAAGGGAACACACUGUGCUUGCACACCGUGUUUUCUUGAGUCGCGAACGGGUGAGUAACGCGUAGGUAACCUGCCUAUUAGCGGGGGAUAACUAUUGGAAACGAUAGCUAAUACCGCAUAAUAUUAAUUAUUGCAUGAUAAUUGAUUGAAAGAUGCAAGCGCAUCACCAGUAGAUGGACCUGCGUUGUAUUAGCUAGUUGGUAAGGUAAGAGCUUACCAAGGCGACGAUACAUAGCCGACCUGAGAGGGUGAUCGGCCACACUGGGACUGAGACACGGCCCAGACUCCUACGGGAGGCAGCAGCAGGGAAUCUUCGGCAAUGGACGAAAGUCUGACCGAGCAACGCCGCGUGAGUGAAGAAGGUUUUCGGAUCGUAAAGCUCUGUUGUAAGUCAAGAACGUGUGUGAGAGUGGAAAGUUCACACAGUGACGGAGCUACCAGAAAG